rnacentral:piRNA from 1 species
CAGAAGUCUAGCAUUGCCUUCGAGGACGC